UUGGUGGGGUAAUGGCCUACCAAGGCGACGACGGGUAGCCGGCCUGAGAGGGCGACCGGCCACACUGGGACUGAGACACGGCCCAGACUCCUACGGGAGGCAGCAGUGGGGAAUAUUGCACAAUGGGCGGAAGCCUGAUGCAGCGACGCCGCGUGAGGGAUGACGGCCUUCGGGUUGUAAACCUCUUUCACCCAUGACGAAGCGCAAGUGACGGUAGUGGGAGAAGAAGCGCCGGCCAACUACGUGCCAGCAGCCGCGGUAAGACGUAGGGCGCGAGCGUUGUCCGGAAUUAUUGGGCGUAAAGAGCUCGUAGGCGGUUUGUCGCGUCGACUGUGAAAACCUACAGCUUAACUGUGGGCUUGCAGUCGAUACGGGCAGACUUGAGUUCGGUAGGGGAGACUGGAAUUCCUGGUGUAGCGGUGAAAUGCGCAGAUAUCAGGAGGAACACCGGUGGCGAAGGCGGGUCUCUGGGCCGAUACUGACGCUGAGGAGCGAAAGCGUGGGGAGCGAACAGGAUUAGAUACCCUGGUAGUCCACGCCGUAAACGGUGGGAACUAGGUGUGGGGGACUUCCACGUCCUCCGUGCCGUAGCUAACGCAUUAAGUUCCCCGCCUGGGGAGUACGG
rnacentral:rRNA from 1 species